rnacentral:rRNA from 1 species
GACGGAGGAUGCAAGUGUUAUCCGGAAUCACUGGGCGUAAAGCGUCCGUAGGUGGUCAAAUAAGUCAACUGUUAAAUCUUGAGGCUCAACCUCAAAAUCGCAGUCGAAACUAUUAGACUAGAGUAUAGUAGGGGUAAAGGGAAUUUCAAGUGGAGCGGUGAAAUGCGUAGAGAUUGGAAAGAACACCGAUGGCGAAGGCACUUUACUGGGCUAUUACUAACACUGAGAGAAGAAAGCUAGGGUAGCAAAUGGG